UACGUAGGGUGCAGGCGUUAAUCGGAAUUACUGGGCGUAAAGCGUGCGCAGGCGGUUUGCUAAGACAGUUGUGAAAUCCCCGGGCUCAACCUGGGAACUGCAUCUGUGACUGCAUCGCUGGAGUGCGGCAGAGGGGGAUGGAAUUCCGCGUGUAGCAGUGAAAUGCGUAGAUAUGCGGAGGAACACCGAUGGCGAAGGCAAUCCCCUGGGCCUGCACUGACGCUCAUGCACGAAAGCGUGGGGAGCAAACAGG
rnacentral:rRNA from 1 species